UCACAACAUGUUUAGUCAGAAAUGAACAGGAAGUGUGGGACACUUGUCUGUCUGAAGCCUAUGUAAUUGCACGUAAGCUCUCAUUCGACUCAUUAGCGAGAAGGAAAUCGAGCCACAGUUUGUUUUCUCCUCUCUGGUUUGUUUGGUUCGUAUUUGAUAAGACUUUCUUCAAAGCAUCAAUGGCGCAUAGCAGAAUGGAUAUCUUUGAGCUCAUCAGGCAUCUGCAACGAUUAAGUCUGGAUGUGGAGGAGAUGCAGGUUCAGCUUGAUCUCUGAUCACAUAUAUCUGAAAUACAAUGACAAUGAAAUCACUCUGACAGCAAACGUGGUUGACUGAAGUGGGCUCCCUCCCUCCCUCCCUCCCUCCCAUCCACACGAAUACUAUUUCUAUCAAUCUGUUACUUCAGACUUUCACAGAAAGAUGCAGCUGCUUAAAGCCAGAACGAUCCUUUACUGGACAAUGCACACGAUGGAAAAAAUAACCAGACAACGAUGACUAAGUGGACUCUUUCUUUUAUCAUUCCUUACUCAUUUUAGUUACAUUUGUGUAGAUUGUUCAGAAUACCCACACUAUCUGUUUCUUCACUCAGGUGCCACAUGAUGACAUAAAUGAGAUCAGUGAAUUCUUCCAGAAAUUAAGUCUGGGAGAAGAAGAGAUGGAUGUGGACGUGGAGUCGGACGUAGAACUGAUGGAUGUGGAUGAGGCUGUAGAGAAAAUGGAUGUGGAAAUGAUGGAAGAGAUGAGCAGACAGAUGAUCAAGUAAAGGAUCAAGUAGAUGCUCAGACAGACGAUCAAGCAGAUUCUCAGACAGAUGAUCACAGCCAUGACCUGAUGAAUGAACAAUCUGAAACAAAUCUUCAUUUCAAAUCUUCAACAAUCUGAAAAGCAAAUCUUCAUUUUCAGAAGAUGUAUAUAUAUCUUCACAUGUUGGACUUUUGUAUAUAUCUAGUUCCUUCUUCAGUCGUCUAUCUAUUUUAUACUAUACACAAAUAUAUCCUCUGUCUUGAAUGGCUAAUCCAUGUAAAUAUGUACAUGUUUGUUUGUUUUUUAUUUAUUUUUGAUUUCCUUUAUUAUUUGAUCAAUAUUUUAUUAAAUGCAAACAAAGUUUAAGUCCUCCAACAAAGUGGGGGGGGGUGGAUGGUAUGGGUAUAAAAAAAAAGUACAAUAAAAUACAUGUAGCUCAAAGGUUCCUGUCAGUGUACUGUAAGUUUUCAGAUACAUUUAAAGAAAUUUCAUGUCACAGUUUAUCAGCAGGUUAACUGAACAUUUUAUAGUUUCUUUUUAUUUGAAUUAGCGAAUACACAAAAAGUACUUAUCUAUGUCUUCAGUAAGGGCUGUAGUCAUGUGUGUAAAGUGAGGUUAAAUUUACAGUAUUUGGCAGACACCCUUAUCCAAAGCGAUAGGUUAUCUCAUUUUUAUACAGCUGAGCAAAUGAGGAUUAAGGGCCUUGCUCAGGGGCCCAACAGUGGCAGCUUUAUGGACCUGGGAUUGAUCUCAAAACCUUCCGAUUGGUAGGCCAACAUCUUAACCACUAUUUGACAUGUCAAAUCAUGCAAGAAGCACUAUGUUUAAUCUAACAUUUUCAUGUAACUACAAUAUGUCACAUGACAUUUGUAAAAGAAAAAUGGCUUCCAGUAAAUAUGGAAAAGAAAAAUGAAUGUGACAGGAAAAACCCAUGUUUUAAACCGAUUUCUUUAAUAGAAGUGAAAUUUAUUAAUAAUUCAUUUUAAAGACAUUUCUACAACAAUCCAAGGGCCAUUAUUUAUUCUUUUUUUCAUGACUGAUGAUACUAACCUGACAGUGUCUGAACUCAGAGCCUUUCUCUGAGGCGACACAUCAGCGGGUGGAUUCGGCUUACAGUCAAUUACCAAUAGGUCUUUAGUCAAACAGCUAAAAUAAAUAUAAUCAAAGAAUGAUGAGAUCAGCAAAGUCCCCAUAGCUUAAUUUCAGACAAACAGAAAAACGUCCUGAGCAGAACAAUCUAAAGCAGAAUGCUCAAAAGUCUCGGUCAGGCUCAAAAGUCUCUAUUUAUGCUCAGUCACCUUCUCUUUCUCUCUCUCUCUCUCUCUUAGAAUGAAAAAGAUAACUGAGUAAUGAAUCAACUUGUUCAUGUUUACCACACACAUUUAUUUAUUGAGACAACAGCUUUUUUGUAUAAUUGUGCCUGUUGUGAAGAAUUGGAUAAGUGCAUCUGCCAAACAUCAGGAAUGUAAAUGUAAAUGGAUUCUAUUCAGGGGGUUGACUGAUUGAUUGAUUGAUUGAUUGAUUGAAUAAAUAAUUUAAUUCGUUAAAAGUUGCAUUUUCAGAUGAAUUUGGGAAGGGAAAAAAAGCAUUUGUUGUGUUGAGAUAUUUCAAUUGCUUUUGUUUGAGGUUUUUAAUUGCAAACACCUGGAAGUUUGUACAGUAUAAUUUGACAUACAACCUUGAUUGCAACCGUAGAUGCUUCAUGUGGUUGUUCUUAGUAUUGACGUUAUAGGCGUCUCUCAAUCCUGACCAUUAAGUGACCGGUACCUUCCUGUUCAUUCAUUUCAAUUUCAUUAAAGAUUAACAAAGAAAAUCUUCAUUAA